AUACAUCGCCCAGGUUUACAUAACACAAUAACUCAUCUCAUGAAUACAUUUUCUUACACAUGAAUAUAGCAAGAACAGACAGAAUUGCACAAUAGAACAAUGACACAUCUGCUACUAUCCCAACAGUAUAAUGGACUUCAUUCUAGUUUUCUACGAGACAUGCUCGAGAUGCGACAACUUGUCAUCCUACAAGAACAUUGCACUGCACAUGAAUCAAUCAAAAAAAAUAUAAAAAAUAUUAGAAAUAAAAAAGAUUUGUAUUCAUCCUGAAGAUGAUGUUCAAAGAAAUGCGAACAAAAGUGAGAGAGACAUGCACUUAGUUUUUUUUAGUAGGAAGUUGUGCGCGCAUAGACACGGUACCACACCAUUCAAGAUAAUUAACGGAAACUAGACAUAAACAUAGGCCAAGUUCAAAUCAAAAUAUGUAACUGUGAAGCCAAAUCAAACAAACGAAUAUGUUUAGCCAACCAAGCAGGAGAGCACUAACCAAACAAUGCUUCCCAGCUAGCUAGUACACUAGAACGUGACCAUCCAACACGCAUACACGCAUCAUGCAGGAAUAUAUAUGAACAUUUUUCUGUAAGGGGGAAAUCAAGACCUUAUUAACCAAACAAUGCUUCCUAGCUAGCUAGUACACUAGAACGUGACCAUCCAACACGCAUACACGCAUCAUGCAGGAAUAUAUAUGAACAUUUUUCUGUAAGGGGGAAAUCAAGACCUUAUUUUGGAAGGACUAAAGAGCUCUUGAACGAGUUCUAGUCAUCAAGUAUAUAAAUCAAGCAAUGCUCCACUUCUAAUUUAUUCCAGUAUUUUUACUUCUAAUAUAUUCCAGUAUUUUUCGACAUGUGUGAUGCUUUUCUGGAAACAUGGAGUAGAAGUAUUUUUGGAAACAUGAAAAAGCAUGAUUUAUUAUCCUGGAGUCUAGACAAGAGUUGUUCUGAGCAUUGUUACUCGAGCGAAGAGGAUGACUAAAAGCGUUCAAUGGUUGAGAAUAUACCAACAGCUUCAAACUCUCCUAACGAAAGAUUCAAGUGCUGGAAAUCUAGAAGCGGGACAGAUUAUACAGUUACCUGAGUGGAGUAAGGGACAGUUUCCAACAUAGAAAUUUCAAACAAAUGAGUCCAUUUCCUGCAUGAACAUAAAUUAAAGUUAGUGUUCAAAACUUAGCAAGUUUGUGUUAAGAACUUAAGCUCCUUACUGAAAACAUAAUGUACAACAGUUUGGCCACACCAAAUCAUAUAUUAUUUUUUAUUACUACUACUAUAUGGUUAGAUUCAACUACUACGUCUCGUCUGGCAAGCUGACAAUUAAAUUGAGUGUACUGGAGUAUACUGAUGCAACUAGAUUUGCAUCCGUCACCUUCAAAAAUCACAUGGAAGGAUAUGCCACCGGAGUCCAGUACCCAACAACCAAUGAUGCGGUUCACACUGACAGUAAGAGAAAACAAAUUAAACUUGUAUAAAUAUGGACAUGUGGGGGGCUGGUGGCUCAGUCUGCCGUCCAAGUGACCAUGUUUAACCGAUAUAAGUUUAAGGUUUGUCUCCAUGUUGCCAAUAAUGCAGCUUUUAAAGAAUUGAUUCACAUACUGCAGAAUAAUUCAAUUAUAGUAAGAGUAAAACAUGUUGCUAUAGUUAAUAAGGUAAGAUGCCAGGCUGACCAGUCAAGAAAUCUGCAGAAAAAACAAGAUUUCCAGCCGAAAAAGAAAAAAGCUAAGGCAUUCCCAUCAACGUUUGGCCUUAAUCAACAUGCCAUUCUUUUUAAGAAGACAAAUAUAUAAGCAAUAAGCAAUACUCACUGCUAAAUUCAGUGUGUUGUGGAUUUCGAUUGACAAGCAAAUAAGCAAUACUCACUCUAAGCUACCAGGACUAGCUAAACCAAGCAUCAGUUUUAAAAAGCUCGGUUUAAGAUACUUCAAUGAUGGGUGACAUCUCAGUAGCAUCUCCUUGUAACAUCAUAUGCUUAGCUAACAAACUCCAUUGUGCACCACAAUAACAGAACCACCUCAAGCAUCUCUACAACAAUAUAUAUAUAGUGAUGGCAUGCCUAGCAUCAGUUUUAAAAAGCUCGAUUUUAGAUACAUCAAAGACCAAAAAAGGUCUCAGUGGUCUAAAUGUUUCACAUCCUGUGCUCAGCACACCAUCAUCAUAACAACAACAUCAAUUCAUCCUUACUCACAUCACGGAACCGAAGAAUGCAGUUGAAGAAAAACUCUAAAAGCGACAGGCUGCCUGCCACUGUCUACUACAGUAGCUCUGAACCACGACGUCCAGUAGUAGCGAGAGUGGCACCUACCAGAUCUGCGCCGCCGUGGCUGCCGCUGUUGGUUCCAUUGAACCUCCACGCCAGUGCCGCCGCCAUCUUAGCCGUAGGUGACCGCCUGGAGCCGAGCAGAUCAAGCUACCCGCUUCUUCCUCACUGCAUCCGAGCUCUCAAUCUGAAACCGACAGUAAAAGUGGAAAAAGGAAGAAACAACUCUUAGUGUAAAUAAGCAAGAAAUGAAAACCGACCAACCAGCCACAGAAAUGGAUCAAACUUACACAGCUUUUAUUCCUGCUUCAAGCAAUCUUACAGUCCCGUUCAACAUGCCUUGCAGAUGAGUGCAAUUUAGAAAUAAAAAAUCAUAUGAGCUACGU
rnacentral:lncRNA from 1 species